UACGUAGGGGGCAAGCGUUGUCCGGAUUCACUGGGUGUAAAGGGUGCUCAGGCGGUUUUGUAAGUCAGGGGUGAAAGCCCGGAGCUCAACUCCGGAACUGCCUUUGAUACUGCAAGGCUUGAGUGCAGAAGAGGCGGAUGGAAUUCAAGGUGUAGCAGUGAAAUGCGUAGAUAUCUUGAAGAACACCAGUGGCGAAGGCGGUCCGCUGGUCUGUCACUGACGCUAAAGCACGAAAGCGUGGGGAGCAAACAGG
rnacentral:rRNA from 1 species